CUGUAUCUGGCAGAGCUUUCUGUCUUUGUGUCUCAACUCUCUUUCUGUGUAUCUCUGUCUCAGAGCUUUCUGUCUCUCUGUGACUCAUUCUUUCUCUGUAUCUCCGCUCUGUGCCUGUGUCUGCCUGGUCGGCCUCAGUCCUGUCUGUGUUGUCUCACUCUUAUACCGGUUAUCUGCUGGACUCUGGGGAGAUUGCGGAAUAUCAGCCGAGCAGUAGUCCAAUCGGAUGGCAGCUCUGUGUCCUUCUUUAAAUCAGUGUGACCCCGACAUGUGGCUCUUCAAACAGAAGUGGCUGAUGUAGCCGAUCAGGUUGAUCUCAGUCCAGACAGUAAGACAUAACAAACGCAGGAGGCUUUGAUCUACAGUUACCUGCUGUGUUUGCUCUGCAAGGUCGGCUUACACAGGAGAGCAAUUUAUGAAUAAAUACACAAGGACCUUUUUGACACGAGAUUGCAAGAUCGUGUGCAUGCACGUACACGCACAAAAUAAAUUAGAUGCAGAAAGUAUGCAUGUACACACGUACAGUUGAAAGCAAUGUCGCUGGUUGGUCCAUACAGAACGUUUGAAGAACGUGGUUGCUAUAUGGUUUGAGUCAGGCAUUUUGCUGGAAUUGUAUCUGAAAGUACUUGGCUACAUAAAAAUGUAAUAUAGAAUAUAGCCAUUUAUAAGUUGAGUUAGCUUUAUAAAUUUAAUAUAGGAUAUAGCCCUUUAUAAACUGUGUAAACUAUA